UGUAGAUGCUGCAUAUAACUGGUGUCUUCAUGUAGACUUAUUCUGAAGAUUUUUAAAUGACUUUGAGAAUGUAUAUAAACUUUUACUUAAAAGGACUUUACCAUGUGCCAACCACUGUGACUUAACUGAAACUGUGGGACUGUGGAAUGGAUGAAAUUGAAAUUGCCUCACAACAGAAGGAGAAGAGAAUCUAGCCCUGGGAAACUCCAACAUUUAAAAGAUGAAACUGUGGUUCAGAAAGGAGAUGUGAAAUGCUUCAUUAAGAUUUUCU